ensembl:lncRNA
GUUUUUCCUCCUGAUCAAGGGCAAGCAUCAGGAUUCACCAAUGUCAUAAACUAAAGGCAAAACAUACUUUCCCUCCCCAAAUUAUCCUCUUGUUCCUCCACCCUCAGCUAAUCCCCACUCGGUGAGACAGUGGGUACAACAGUGGCCCAGCUCAGUGUGGAACCAUAGAACAGAAGAAAGUUGCCAGCUAGCCAGAGACUGUAUAACCUGAUCUUGUCAGCAGAAGUUUCCAAACCAGCUCUCUCUACGGCGUAAUGCAUCUACCCCCGGGGGUGCACAGCGCACUUGGUCCCCUGUGACUGCACAGUUAGACUCGCUCUCACUCCUGCUGAUUACCUGUGAUUAUCUACCUGCUCAAGUUGUCAGAUGGCUGCCAUUAAACACCUUUGAAUCUAAAGUAGUUCAUCAGCUCUCUGGUCAUUCAUUCCCUUGAUCCUAGAUUUUAUGCCUACCCUGUUUUAUUUCUUUUUGUAUAAUUGGAGUUGAGUCACCCCCAAAUGGAUAAACUCUUCUCCCAGGUUAACUUAAGCACCUCAUUCAGGAUCCUGACUUUAUGACAUGCCCAGACAAGACCAAAAUUAAUUUCAUGGCAGGAGACUUUCUGUAUUUACAAUUAGGAUAGAUUUUCCGUUUCAUGCAGCA